rnacentral:rRNA from 1 species
AAAAGAAACUAACAAGGAUUCCCUCAGUAACGGCGAGUGAAGCGGGAAGAGCUCAAAUUUGGAAUCACGGCAGUGCCUGCUGUGAAUUGUAAAUUCAAGACAUGUGGGAAAGUGGAAGGGCGUGUUCAAGUCUCCUGGAAUGGAGCACCACAGAGGGUGACAGUCCCGUCUGGACACGACUGACCGUGAAUCUCUAGUGUCGACGAGCCGAGUUGCUUGGGAAUGCAGCUCAAAUGGGUGGUAAAUUCCAUCCAAGGCUAAAUAUUGGCAAGAGACCGAUAGCGAACAAGUACCGUGAGGGAAAGAUGAAAAGCACCUUGAAAAGGGAGUUAAAUAGCACGUGAAAUUGUUAAAAGGGAAACGAUCGCGGCUGAGUGCGAGGUGAACUGAAGGCAGUCUUCUGUGGGAGAUUGCAGUAUGGUCCACUUCAAGUGGGAAUCGGUGCAGGUUGCUGAAUAAGACUAGAGUGAGGGCAUCUGACUUUGGUCGCAUUGCCUCCUUUGGGACAGCAGUGACGUAUACCGGUUUCCAUGUUUGGCCUUGAACGACCCGUCUUGAAACACGGACCAAGGAGUCUAACAUGUAAGCGAGUAUUUGGGUGGCAAACCCGAAUGCGUAGCGAAAGCGAAGUGUACGAGAGUUGCAAGACUUGCAGUACCGGUGUGUGUCGAAAUUAUUAUCCUCACACAGCCAGAGCUUAUAUGCUGGGACCCGAAAGGUGGUGAACUAUGCCUGAAUAGGGCGAAGUCAGAGGAAACUCUGGUGGAGGCUCGUAGCCGUUCUGACGUGCAAAUCGAUGGUCAAAUUUGGGUAUAGGGGCGAAAGACUAAUCGAACCAUCUAGUAGCUGGUUCCCUCCGAAGUGUCCCCCAGGAUAGCUGGAACUCUUGAGCAGUUUUAUCAGGUAAAGCGAAUGAUUAGAGGCCUUGGGGCAGUAACUGCCUUAACCUAUUCUCAAACUUUAAAUGGGUAAGAGGGCGUGGGGUACUUGAGUGACCCUGUGCUGUAGAAUGCGAGUAGUUCUUAGUGGGCCAUUUUUGGUAAGCAGAACUGGCGAUGCGGGAUGAACCGAACGUCGGGCUAAGGUGCCGGAGUACACGCUCAUCAGACACCAUAAAAGGUGUUAGUUCAUCCAGACAGCAGGGCGGUGGCCAUGAAAGUCGGCAUCCGCUAAGGAGUGUGUUAUGACUCACCUGCCGAAUGAACUAGCCCUGAAAAUGGAUGGCGCUCAAGCGUGUGACCGAUGCCCGACCCACAAUCUGGAUAGGCUGGAUUGUGGAGUAGGAGGGCGUGGGGGUGGCGGAGCAGCCUGAAUCGUGAGAUUGGGUGAAGCCGCCUCUAGUGCAGAUCUUGGUGGUAGUAGCAAAUAUUCAAAUGAGAUCUUUGAAGACUGAAGUGGGGAAAGGUUCCAUGUGAACAGUGCUUGACCAUGGGUGAGUCGAUCCUAAGCUCUAUGUUAACGCAAUAGAAAGGGAAAAGUUAAUUUUUCCGGAGCGAAAGGGAAUCCGUUUAAGAUUACGGAACCAGUUGUGGGGUGUAGACGGCAACGGUCAUGAACUUGGAGACGCUGGCGCAGGUUCCGGGAAGAGUUUUCUUUUCUUCUUAACAGUCGAGGGGCCCUGGAAGCAGUUUAACUGGCGGGAGGGCUUGCCGACUGGUAGAGCAGCGCAUUUUUGUGCUGUCCGGUGCACCUGUGACGGUCCGUGAAAAUCCAGGGGAGGUAAUUGCCUUUGCAACUGGUCGUACUGAUAACCGCAGCAGGUCCUCAAGGUGAAGAGCCUCUAGUUGGUAGAACAAUGUAGGUAAGGGAAGUCGGCAAAAUAGAUCCGUAACUUUGGGAAAAGGAUUGGCUCUUGUGUCUCGGGGAGGUGGUGAGAUUGCAUCAAGCCACGCCCGAUUAUGAGACGAACAAGAACUGGUACGGACAAGGG